rnacentral:rRNA from 1 species
GAUGAACGCUGGCGGCGUGCCUAAUACAUGCAAGUCGAGCGAACAGACGAGGCGCUUGCUCCUCUGACGUUAGCGGAGGACGGGUGUGUAACACGUGGAUCACCUACCUAUCAUUCUGGGAUCUUCUCGGGACACCGGCGCAUAUCCCGGAUAAUAUAUUGAUCCGCAUGGUUCAAUAGUGAAAGACGGCUUUGCUGUAACUUAUAGCUGCAUCCGCGCCGCAUUAGCUAGUUGGUAAGGUAACGGCCUAUCAAGGCGACGAUGCGUAGCCGACCUGGGAGGGUGAUCGGCCACACUGGAGCUGAGACGCGGUCCAGACUCCUACGGGAGGCAGCAGAAGGGAAUCUGCCGCAACAGUCGAGAGCCUUGCGCAGCGACGCGGCGUGAGUUGUAGAGAUGUUGGGAUCGUAAAGCUCUGUUAUGAGUUAAAAACAAAUGUGUAAGUAACUAUGCACGUCUUGACGGUACCUAGUCAGAAAGCCACGGCUAACUACGUG